rnacentral:rRNA from 1 species
UACGUAGGGUGCAAGCGUUGUCCGGAAUUAUUGGGCGUAAAGAGCUCGUAGGCGGUCUGUCGCGUCGGCUGUGAAAACCCGGGGCUCAACCCCGGGCCUGCAGUCGAUACGGGCAGACUAGAGUGCGGUAGGGGAGACUGGAAUUCCUGGUGUAACGGUGAAAUGCGCAGAUAUCAGGAGGAACACCGGUGGCGAAGGCGGGUCUCUGGGCCGUAACUGACGCUGAGGAGCGAAAGCGUGGGGAGCGAACAGG